AGGGUGGAAGUGAGUGUUGUCAGCUGCUGUCACCAUCAUUGACGGGACCUCUAGCAACCACCCGCCUCCACCUUUAUUCUUAAACAAAAGCCUUCCAGGACAGACAAAACCCUCUAGCAAUGACGACUCCAGCACCCCAGGUGGACCUGCCAUGGUGGCAGAAAUAUCUGGCUCGUGGUGUUGGUUGUGGAGGAGGCAUAAUUGCUAUGGGGCUUGGAGUGUUCAACUGUCUCACUAUCACUCCCAUGUGUAUUGUUGCAGGUAUCUGGCAAAUGCUAGCAGCUUUUAUUGUAAUCUCUGCUGAAGCUCCAUGCUGCUGUAUGUUUAUUGAUUUUGUUCAGCAGUAUUCAACCUGGGUGGAGGGUAGACAACACUGGCAGAAAGCUGCUUUCUACAUCAUCUUGGCUCUUCCAGCUGUCAUCAUGUGCCCAGGACUGGCUACUAUAUUUGGCUCGGGCCUCAUCUUCUUGUGUGGGGUUUUGUAUGGAAUGAUGGCCCUUGGAAAAAAGGGAAGUCGGGAGGAUAUGAUCGCUGCAGCUCAGCAAAACACUGGGCCGGCCAACUCUCAAAGUGCUAUCUUGGUGGAUGACCCUGAAGCCUGGCGCUCCACUUGAACCAGCUAACAGUUUUAUAACAACUACCAUCCAUCGUUUUGAUAACAACCGCUUACAUAGGCUCCAGGGAUGACAUGAUAGCUGCUGCUCAGAACUCGACACGGCCAGGCAACAUGAAGGAUCCUCUGGUGGAUGGAGCUUCUCCGACACCUGCUUAAGUUACUUUAUCACACCUCUUCCAGCUCAAGUGGGAGCAGUGAAUAUGUCGUAUUUGUUGUUGUGGUUAGGAUGUUUGCGUCAUUGAAAAGAUUUUUUUUUAUAUAUAUAUAUAUAAAUUUGUAGUAUAUAGUAUUUUGGAAAAUGUUAGUUUCAUAUGAAUCGUGAACAGCUUCCCCAUUGCCACACCCCUUACUAUAAAAUUAACAACAUGAAUGGAGGACAGUAAUAUGGUAACAUAUCAUAAUCAUUUAAAUUACACUUAAGGAAAGUUUUGUCAUUAAAUGGCACUAUUUUUAAGGCUUCCUUUUCACUGUUGAAAUUUAAUUUGUGUCCUUGUGUUAGGAAAGCUUAUAUUUUUCUUUUUCAUUUUAUAGAAUACAGUAAUAAAAUAUUGAUCUUUCCAUAGGUUUAGAUGUUUCCUUUAUUGACAUAAAAGAUACUUGUGCCUGCAAUCAUGCUGCAGCCCAUUAAAUCAAUGCCUGUAGCAUAUGAUAGAAAAAACAUUUGUUCCCAGGAAACUUAACUCAAACAGCCAUUUUCAUAAAGAUAUGUGUGGUUCUGGUCUUUGACUAUAAAUUUGAGAAUGGUAAUGAAGUAGAAAGUGCUGUGGUAGUUUGUGGUGAGGCCAUUGUUGUUGCUACUGGGUCAGUCAAACUCUUAACACUAACUUAAAUACUUAUAUGAAGAUUGGACAGAGAAUAUCAGCACUAAUGUAAUAAGUAAAAUAUGGUGAUAAUUGCUAAUAUUUAGAAUUUUUUUUUUAAUAUUAAAAAGUAGGUAACUAUGUAAGGUAUUAAAUUAAAACUAUAAGUCAAUAUACUAAAUCACUAUGUAAGGUGCUAUACACAAUCACUGAUCAAACCCUGAAUAUGACUGACCAUUUAUAUUCUGACAUCCAGUACUGUAUUUGAAAGAAUUGAAUUGAUAAGUUUAUUAAUCUUAAAAUUGAUUGCCAGAUACCUAGAUAUUUCACUUUCUUGUAAAACAGAUUUGAUUUGCUUAUAGUAUCUGGCUCUCUCGACAUAAACAUUGUUUAUGGUCAGCAGUGUCAAUGUUUUAAUCUGCAUUUUAAUUUUUAAUUUAGUUAAUAUAAUGUACUAGGUGUCCCAGAAGUCUGGACCUGAAGAGAUACAUUCACAAUUUACAUUUAAUUAAUUUAUUAUCAAAUCCAUUAACAGUGCUACAUAUUAAUUCUUGGGAUUUUUUUUUUUUAAUGAAUUUAUGAUUUUUUUUUUUUUUUUGGAGGGGGGGGGGGUAGAAUAAGAAUGUAUGUUUCACUCUGGGUCUUCCAAAACCUAUUAAGAAUGCCAGUGACCCAUCAGGGUAUUUUGAAAUUUUGAAAUGUGUAAAACCGACAUUAGGAAUGUAUAACUUUUGAUGAAUAUAACACCAAUAUUUCUUAUGGGUGCAGAGUUUUGGGACCCUGUACAAUAUAGCUGCUCAAUACGCUAUGGUUACUUGGCUACAAAUGUUCACCAAUAGCUUAGAGAAGUACUAGUGCAUAACAAGCUUUAUAAAGCUUGCUAGAUAAUACAGAUAAUUAACUUCCAGGUGUAAUGAUGUCACUUAGCACAAAGGAGAAAUUAAACAAGUGGCUCCUUAUAUGUACACUUUAAGAGCGACUGGAAUAUGCUGCCAAUUUUAAUAUUGAUUUUUUACCGCUAGAUAUUCAUACUCGCUGGAAGAAGGUAAAUUGUACUUAAAAAAGCUUAAAUUUAAAGCAGUUUGCAAUGUGAAUGAAAGGUACAACACUCCAAGUUUUUCUUCAUGCAGUAAUAAUUUAAAAAAAUCUUUCCAAGGCAUAACUUUGAAAUUGUUGGUAAACUACAGAUGCUGUAUAGGAUUAAACAUGAAUUUUUGAGAGUUAAGGGGCAGAAAUUAGACUUCAACUAUAAUUGAUCUGUCAUUGUAAUAUACAGUCCAUUGAUACCAUGACAAAGGAGAGCUUAUGAUAAUGAAUGGAAUUUGAUGCACAACUAGAUUACAACUUUUUUUUUAUGAAAAAUAAAGUCGUAUAACCAGUUACUCGGGUGAAAAAUA